CCCACCCUGGGACUGUCCCCUCACAGACAUGGCAACAACCCCACACUGGGACUGUUCCACACCGCAACAACCGCACCGUGAGACUGUCCCCUCACAGACACCGAACAACCCCACCCUGGGACUGUCCCCUCACAGACACCGCAACAACCCCACUCUGGGACUGUCCCCUCACAGACACCCCAACAACCCCACCCAGCACAUUCCCGUAUUCCCAGCAUGGACCACCAUGGACCACUGGCCCAGCCCCCAUCCUGCUGCCUCCAGCAUGCACCACCAGCCCCAGCCUGGAUCAAUCCCCAUGGGCCACCAUGGACCACCUUCCCAUCAUAGACCACUUCCCCAGUCUUAGUACACCCCACUGCUUCAGCGUGUCCCAGCUUGGGCUACCAUGGACCACCAGCCCCAGCACAGCCCCCAGCCCCAGCAUGGACCACCUCAGACCAGCUGCAGGAGGUCCAGCAGCUCUUGGGCCUCCUGGAGAGCAGCAGGACACUGAGCGGGCACAUGCUGCUGCCUCCCACGGCAUCCCAGCAGAGUCCAGAGGAGAGGAACCCAACACUGAGCAGAACCAGCAGCUGCUGACCCUGAGGAACCUCAACAAUCCCUAAAAAGCUUCUAAAAAGCAGGAAACCCCAGGAGACAAGUUCCUUCCCUCGGGCAGAAACCUCCUUUGCAGGUACGGGGGGAGGGCUGUGCUGAGACCCCCAACCUCACCUCCCCUCCCCACCAGGCCUGGGAGAGCAAACUCAUCUUCCCCCCACAAAAACAGAGUGGUUUUAUUUGUGUGGUGUGGUUAAAUCGAUUUUAUAGAACUUCAGCUGGAACAGAGAAGCUUCAAGAUAGAUACACUCAUAAAAGUGCAGACACGCGGGGUAUUUCCCUG